AUCAACUUUCGAUGGUAGGAUAGAGGCCUACCAUGGUGGUAACGGGUAACGGGGUGUUAGGGCACGACACCGGAGAGGGAGCCUGAGAAACGGCUACCACAUCCAAGGAUGGCAGCAGGCGCGCAAAUUACCCAAUCCCGACACGGGGAGGUAGUGACAAUAAAUAACAAUACGGGGUUCUUUCGGAUUUCGUAAUUGGAAUGAGUACAAUUUAAAUCUCUUAACGAGGAACAAUUGGAGGGCAAGUCUGGUGCCAGCAGCCGCGGUAAUUCCAGCUCCAAUAGCGUAUAUUAAAGUUGUUGCAGUUAAAAAGCUCGUAGUUGAACUUCGGGGUUUACCCAUUGGUCAGGUUUAAUUAUCUGUACUGGUGAGAUAAAUCUCUACCUUCUGAGGAACUUUCAUGCCAUUUAUUUGGUGUGGGAGGAAAUCAGGACUGUUACUUUGAAAAAAUUAGAGUGUUUAAAGCAGGCUAACGUCUGAAUACAUUAGCAUGGAAUAAUGAAAUAGGACGGAUUGAUUCUAUUUCGUUGGUUUCUAGGAUCACCGUAAUGAUUAAUAGGGAUAGUUGGGGGCAUUAGUAUUCAAUUGUCAGAGGUGAAAUUCUUGGAUUUAUUGAAGACUAACUACUGCGAAAGCAUUUGCCAAGGAUGUUUUCAUUAAUCAAGAACGAAAGUUAGGGGAUCGAAGACGAUCAGAUACCGUCGUAGUCUUAACCAUAAACUAUGCCGACUAGGGAUCGGACGAAGUUAAUUUUAUAAUGACGCGUUCGGCACCUUACGGGAAACCAAAGUGUUUGGGUUC
rnacentral:rRNA from 1 species